rnacentral:tRNA from 1 species
CGCGGGGUGGAGCAGUUCGGUAGCUCGUCGGGCUCAUAACCCGAAGGUCGCAGGUACAAAUCCUGCCCCCGCAACCA